rnacentral:rRNA from 1 species
UACGUAGGGGGCGAGCGUUGUCCGGAUUUAUUGGGCGUAAAGAGCGUGUAGGCGGCCAGGUAGGUCUGCUGUGAAAACUCGAGGCUCAACCUCGAGACGUCGGCGGAAACCAUCUGGCUAGAGUCCGGAAGAGGAGAGUGGAAUUCCGUGGAUGUAGCGGUGAAAUGCGCAGAUAUCAGGAAGAACACCCGUGGCGAAGGCGGCUCUCUGGGACGGUACUGACGCUGAGAGCGAAAGCGUGGGGAGCAAACAGG